rnacentral:lncRNA from 1 species
GCAGGUGCUUCAGCUGUUGCCGGUGCCUCACCACCUUAUUCCGGAAACAGGUGACGCUGUCCUGAGGGCGGCAGGCAUCGGGGUUGGCCAGCAUCCGCCGCAGCCCCUGCUGAAGCUCCGCCUGCAACUCGAGCUCCUGAUAUAGGUUCGUGCCCGUCGCGACGAACUUCUCCAUCUUCUUCACUUUGCGCUCCAUCUUCCGCCCGGCGUACUCAAAGCCGAAGGGGUCAUCGCCGUUCUGUACCAGGUUCGCGAACUCGGCGUCGAACCGCCGCAGCACAGGGUCGGAGCACCUCCACGCGAGGCAGGC